UUCCUACGGGAGGCAGCAGUGGGGAAUAUUGCACAAUGGGCGCAAGCCUGAUGCAGCAACGCCGCGUGGGGGAUGAAGGCCUUCGGGUUGUAAACCCCUUUUAGUAGGGAAGAAGCGAAAGUGACGGUACCUACAGAAAAAGCGCCGGCUAACUACGUGCCAGCAGCCGCGGUAAUACGUAGGGCGCAAGCGUUGUCCGGAAUUAUUGGGCGUAAAGAGCUCGUAGGCGGUUUGUCGCGUCUGCUGUGAAAUCCCGAGGCUCAACCUCGGGUCUGCAGUGGGUACGGGCAGACUAGAGUGUGGUAGGGGAGACUGGAAUUCCUGGUGUAGCGGUGGAAUGCGCAGAUAUCAGGAGGAACACCAAUGGCGAAGGCAGGUCUCUGGGCCACAACUGACGCUGAGGAGCGAAAGCGUGGGGAGCGAACAGGAUUAGAUACCCGAGUAGUCUA
rnacentral:rRNA from 1 species